GAUGAACGCUGGCGGCGUGCCUAAUACAUGCAAGUCGAGCGAACGGACGAGAAGCUUGCUUCUCUGAUGUUAGCGGCGGACGGGUGAGUAACACGUGGAUAACCUACCUAUAAGACUGGGAUAACUUCGGGAAACCGGAGCUAAUACCGGAUAAUAUUUUGAACCGCAUGGUUCAAAAGUGAAAGACGGUCUUGCUGUCACUUAUAGAUGGAUCCGCGCUGCAUUAGCUAGUUGGUAAGGUAACGGCUUACCAAGGCAACGAUGCAUAGCCGACCUGAGAGGGUGAUCGGCCACACUGGAACUGAGACACGGUCCAGACUCCUACGGGAGGCAGCAGUAGGGAAUCUUCCGCAAUGGGCGAAAGCCUGACGGAGCAACGCCGCGUGAGUGAUGAAGGUCUUCGGAUCGUAAAACUCUGUUAUUAGGGAAGAACAUAUGUGUAAGUAACUGUGCACAUCUUGACGGUACCUAAUCAGAAAGCCACAGCUAACUACGUGCCAGCAGCCGCGGUAAUACGUAGGUGGCAAGCGUUAUCCGGAAUUAUUGGGCGUNAAGCGCGCGUAGGCGGUUUUUUAAGUCUGAUGUGAAAGCCCACGGCUCAACCGUGGAGGGUCAUUGGAAACUGGAAAACUUGAGUGCAGAAGAGGAAAGUGGAAUUCCAUGUGUAGCGGUGAAAUGCGCAGAGAUAUGGAGGAACACCAGUGGCGAAGGCGACUUUCUGGUCUGUAACUGACGCUGAUGUGCGAAAGCGUGGGGAUCAAACAGGAUUAGAUACCCUGGUAGUCCACGCCGUAAACGAUGAGUGCUAAGUGUUAGGGGGUUUCCGCCCCUUAGUGCUGCAGCUAACGCAUUAAGCACUCCGCCUGGGGAGUACGACCGCAAGGUUGAAACUCAAAGGAAUUGACGGGGACCCGCACAAGCGGUGGAGCAUGUGGUUUAAUUCGAAGCAACGCGAAGAACCUUACCAAAUCUUGACAUCCUUUGACAACUCUAGAGAUAGAGCUUUCCCCUUCGGGGGACAAAGUGACAGGUGGUGCAUGGUUGUCGUCAGCUCGUGUCGUGAGAUGUUGGGUUAAGUCCCGCAACGAGCGCAACCCUUAAGCUUAGUUGCCAUCAUUAAGUUGGGCACUCUAAGUUGACUGCCGGUGACAAACCGGAGGAAGGUGGGGAUGACGUCAAAUCAUCAUGCCCCUUAUGAUUUGGGCUACACACGUGCUACAAUGGACAAUACAAAGGGCAGCGAAACCGCGAGGUCAAGCAAAUCCCAUAAAGUUGUUCUCAGUUCGGAUUGUAGUCUGCAACUCGACUACAUGAAGCUGGAAUCGCUAGUAAUCGUAGAUCAGCAUGCUACGGUGAAUACGUUCCCGGGUCU
rnacentral:rRNA from 1 species